CUUACGUCGUAUACAAAAUGAAAGGGUAUUCAGUUAUGUAUAAAUCUCCUAGCAAAAAUCGUUUUGGAUAGUUGAAUUGAAUGUUUUCAACUUUUAAAUAGUUUACAAUAACUUCUGAACUUGAAUGGAUACAAGUCGCCUAGAUUUUCAAUCUUGACUAUCGAGUGAUAGGUUUUGGCCAAAUAGACGAUGUCUAAAGGCCCAACAAUUCAAGAAUUUUCCUGGAAUACUAUAGCAACUGUUUUCAACGAAUCCAACCGAAUUGUAAGUAAUUUCUUCCAA